GGAGGGACCAGGAUAGAAUGAAGCUUGAUAUCAUUGUCGAAUCCGCGACUGAUUCACACUCAUACGUAGAACACAUGGGGCCUCCAUGGUGCAGCUAAACCCGACCCAUCGAACAAAAACCCGAGGGGAUCAUGGAGGGGUGCAUCAACGGAUGACGAAUGACGAGUGCAGUGGAGGAAAACGUUUUCCGAGGGAGAUCGCCUCUGGAAAAUUCGUUGGGUAUCAAUUUUCAGGAGCGUGAGACUGAAGGCGAUUUAGGGGGGAAUGAUGGAAUUCAAAUUUAUGGUCAUCAGUCAGGUAUCCAGACAUUUGUGAAUUUCCAAUAACGGAAUAAGUUGAGCGUUCAAUGGAAGUGAAAUGGGUUAAAAAUUUUCAGGAAGUGUACCGGAAAAUUCAGACGAAAAGUUUCAACAGUGAAGAGGAGUCUACACACCGAGAACUAUUCAACUAAAAUUAUCUAAACGGUUAAGUAAUUCUGAAGCAGUGGAUCAUUCACAGAAAAAUUGUCGAAUGAAUUCAAAUUUUUUAUGACAUUAGAAAAAGACUUCGAUACCCUCCGAAAAAAUUAAUUGUCUAAAUAAUUAAAGUGAUAGUGUACUCCAUUAUUGCCAAAUCGUUUGGACACUUUUAUUGAAUUUUUCUCUCCCUAUAUUGAUUAAGAAAUAUUACGGAAAUGGAAAUUUUGCAGAAUAUGAUUUAAGUGGAAAGUCAGUCAAAUCUGUGAUUUUUUUUAACGUUCCUUUGUAGAGACAGAAAAUACCAAAAUUUAUAUGAAUUUCAAUUGUAACUAAUAAUCAUUUCAUGAACUUAAAAAUUGAAAAAUUCUUUGGAUGGACUCAAUGUUUCGUGUUUAAAAUACUUGAUGAGCGUGAAGGCAAAUGAUUGCUAAGUGUUUUUUAUAUAAUAAUACGAGUUAACGAAAAAAUCUAAUAGAAACAGAGAAGUAUUUCAGCCCAAUGAAGGCGAUUAUCUUUAUUAUAUAAUGAAUUUAGAAGUGAAAAUAGAUAUUCAGUGGGAAAUUUUCCUGAAUUUUUCGAAAAUUUCUCCAAAAGUCGUGGACGUCCGAGGAGUUUAAAAGGAGCAAAAAUUAUUUACGAAAGAAAGAACUACCCAAAGUCCUUAGAUAGUCUUAAAUAGCGAAAUUAUUGUUAUGAUAUUUUUUGUAGCCCUCAAUUUUCUCCGCAAAAAAGGUAAUGGCUAAUAUUUUGCUAUCUUUGGUAUUUAACUCAAAAAAACCAAGUAAACUUGAACCGUUUGACUAUUUCUGUUUUACGGUUUCGCUAUCGUAAUUUUCAUAUUUCAAAAAAAAGAAUGUCCUUUACUUCCGCAGUAAAGUAAAAAAACAUUUUUUUACGUCCUCAACUACACAACCGAACCCACUUUUUCAAAAAAAUUUCCGAGGUUUUCUGAGGUUAUAUCAAAGAAAUUCGACGAUCAGCGUUGAAGUUUAUUAAUAAACAUCAGAAGCUACGCAUGUGCCUCUGAACUCCUUGAAAUCGUGAUAGAGUACUUGAGAAGUGGGAUAACGUUAAUACAUAGUGAAGUAAAUGGAAAAUGUUCUUCAUUUAAUUGCAAAAAUUCCUCAAAAAUUUUAUGGUGGCUCUGGGCUCCCCUGAAUUUUCCAUUUCGAAUUGAUGACCCCUAAGUUAACGAUCCGUUGAGUCACUUCUUUUUUUGUGUGAGACCUUUCCCCCUCAAUAUUCAUUGUACAUUGUCAACAUAAUUUGUUCCUAAAAAUUACGAAUAACAAUCCCUUUAUGAACAAUCAAGAUCAAAAAUUAUUUUUAAAAAAUAUUCAUUUACUUGAGGGCACCAUUAAUUUUUUCAAAAUGAUAUUUCUUUAAUUAAGUAAUUAUACAGCUUGGAUUCAAUAAUUCCCAAGACUGCCUGAUUAGGUUGCAAUUACGACAAUCUUCUUGCUCUUGAGGACGACUAUGUUACACAGAACCUUAAAUGAACUUCGUUAAUGAGUUUUUUUUUUGAAGUUUCUGAUUUUCCAGAAGGAAAAAAAUUUACGGAAUUUUUCAAUGUUCACAAUUAUUUAAAGAGUUCACCCAGGAUUACCACUAAUAUAAUCACCUUCUAGAACAACAUGCUUGACAUAUUUCAAACCUAAUCAGCAUCGCCUAAUGAUGACUUCACUCAACAUGCCACAUUAAAAAAAUAAAAACCUCUCUGAAGUAAAUGGACAUUUGGCAAAAAUAGUUUUCUUAGUGUUGACUCUCUUGGUUUUUCCAUUUUGAACUGGUCACCCCUGAAUGAUGAGAGGUUACGACCCGUUGAGUCACUUGUUUUUUUUGUGAGACCCUAAUCCCCAAUAUUCCUUGUAAAAUCACAAAUAACAACCCCUUUAUUAAUAAUCGAGAUAAAAAACUAUUUUUUCCAAAUAUUCAUUUACUUGAAAGAACCAUUUAUUUUCUUAGAAUUAUAUUCCUUUGAUUGAGUAAUCCCUAGGACGGCCUGAUUGGGUCUUAAUUACGACAAUCUUUUUGCUCUUGGCGAUGGCUAUGGUACACAAAAUCUUAAAUGAACUUCGUUCAUAACUUUUCUUUUUUCGAAAUUUCUGAUUUUCCAGAGGGAAAAAAUUCGCACAAUUUUUUCAAUGUUCACAAUUAUUUAAGGAAUUCACUCAGGAUUAUAAUUCGCAUAAUCAUCUACCAGAACAACAUAAUUGACAUACUUCAAACUUAAUCAGGAUCGCCUAGUGAUCCCUUGAUUCAAGUAAUACGACAUUGAAACAAUUAAAACUCGUCUGAAGUAAAUGAAUAUUUAACAAAAACAAUUUUUUCCUCAGUCCAAAUAGUAAUAAACGACUACUUGUCCAUGCAGAAAAAAAAUCUACUGUCAUUGUCCUUAAUAGGAAGAUCCUUUCAAAGAAAAUGACUUGAAAUUUUCACAUUUUCACCAAAAACAAAUUCAAUUUCCCAACUUACCAAAU